rnacentral:rRNA from 1 species
CAGUCGCCGCGGUAAUGCGAAGGGUGCAAGCGUUACUCGGAAUUACUGGGCGUAAAGCGUGCGUAGGUGGUGGUUUAAGUCCGUUGUGAAAGCCCUGGGCUCAACCUGGGAAUUGCAGUGGAUACUGGGUCACUAGAGUGUGGUAGAGGAUAGUGGAAUUUCCGGUGUAGCAGUGAAAUGCGUAGAGAUCGGGAGGAACAUCAGUGGCGAAGGCGGCCAUCUGGGACAACACUGACGCUGAGGCACGAAAGCGUGGGGAGCAAACAGGAUUAGAUACCCCUGUAGUCCCUGUCUCUUAUAC